ensembl:lncRNA
GACUCUUUGUGAUCCCAUGCACUGUAGCCCACCAGGCUCCUCUGCCCAUGGGAUUCUCCAGGCAAGAAUACUGGGGUUGGUCGCCAUGCCCUCCUCCAGAAGAUCUUCCAAACCCAGAGAUCGAACCCACAUCUCUUACGUCCCCCGCCUUGGCAGGCAGGUUCUUUACUACUAGUGCCACCUGGGAAGCCCAAUUUAAAAAUAGUUUAUUGCUAAAAAAUGCUAACCAUCAUCUGAGUCUUCAGAGAGUCCAAGGCUUUGGGCAAUAGUCAUAGCAAAGACCACCGACCACAGAUCACCAUACAAAUAUAAAAAGAAUGAAAAAGUUUGAACUGUUUCAAGAACUACCAAAAUGUGACACAAAGCCAUGAAGUGAGCAAAUGCUGUUGGAAAAAUGGCACUAAUAGCCUUGCUCAAUACAGGUUGUCGCUAACCUUCAAUUUGUAAAAAAUGCAGUAUCUGUGAAGCACAGUAAACUGAAGUACAAUAAAAAGAGAGAUGCCUGCUUAUGAGCUGCUGAAGAUAACAAGGAGGAGCAGGAAGGCAGAAAGGAAGGCAGCAGCUAGUUCAUGACCUUGAAAGAUUUUGCAAGUCCUGCUAAGGCAUUUGGACUUCAUCUGAUUUUUUUUUUUGUUUUGGUUAGUGAGAGCAAAAUAAGUACCAAUAAAAUGUAAAAAUGUGGAAAUUUUGUAAAAAUUAAAUACUUUUCUUUCAAACAUAAACUUACAAAUAUUAUUAUUAUUACACAUUUUAUCUUGUAUUAGAGGAUAGCCAAUUAACAAACAAUGCUGUGAUAGUUUCAGAUCAACAGCAAAGGGACUCAGCCAUACGUUUACACAUAUUCAUUCUCCCCCAAACUCCACUCCCAUCCAGGCUGCCACAUAACAUUGAGCAGAAUUCUGUGUGCUCUACAGUAGGUCCUUGUUUGUUAUCCAUUUUAAAUAUAGCAGUGUGCACACCGAACUGCAUCUGAUUUCAGAGGCAGUAGGAUGAUAGUUAAGUUUUAUGAGUUCUUUUUAAAACAUUGCAUGUAUGUUGUUGUCAGAUGUUUUCAGGGAAAUGUAUUUAUUUUAUUUUCAUGAGCACAUAUAAGUUUGUGUAAAUGGAGAGACAGAGCUCUAGAAGGACACUCAUCAAGCUGUUAACCAUGGAUACCUCUAGAAUGAAAGAGAGAAAGCAGAGGUAAGGGUGGUCAAGGCAACUCUCAUCUUUAGCUGUGUCCCUUUAAAAAAAUUAUUUUUAUUCAUUUAUAUUGGAAAAAUAGUUGCUUUACAAUGUUGUAUUAAUUUCUGCUGUACAACAAAGUGAAUCGACACUUAAUGAGGCCAUGACACGUGGAGGAAUGGCACUGAAAAUGGAAACUUGUAGGACCUGAGCAAGAAACUGACAUUGAGAACCGUGGAACACGCGCAAAGGAAAAUGCACAUGUUGCUGAUAACUGGAUGAAAGACAAAACAGCCCACCAUGGCCUCCUCAUUCUUGUGGUCAAGGAUAUUUUCCAGCCCGACAUGGAGG